UUGCCAGCUUCCGCAACAUGGUCUUCAGUCCUUGGCUCCAACUCAAUUGGCGCCCUUACUUCGUUCUCCAAACCAUCAACUGGAGUUAAAUGUCGUGAGGUGCUGUCCACUUCUGAUUCUUCCUUCGUUCCCCACGCUAACUGAUUUCUCUGAGCAAUCUCAGCUUCACGUUCCGAUUGACGCUUCUUCUUUCGCAUCAUCAGGGUUUUAAACCGACGUUUAACUGUCAUGCACACAUUGCAGGUGCAAGUAGGUUUGUGUUUGCCCUUUCCACUUGGAGGCUGGAUACAGACAAUGCAGGAACACCCAGGUCUAUGCCGGGGAUGUUUUGUGGUGGUAACCA
rnacentral:lncRNA from 1 species